rnacentral:rRNA from 1 species
UACGUAGGGUGCGAGCGUUGUCCGGAAUUAUUGGGCGUAAAGGGCUCGUAGGCGGUCUGUCACGUCGGGAGUGAAAACACGGGGCUUAACCCCGUGCCUGCUUCCGAUACGGGCAGACUAGAGGUAUGCAGGGGAGAACGGAAUUCCUGGUGUAGCGGUGAAAUGCGCAGAUAUCAGGAAGAACACCCGUGGCGAAGGCGGCUCUCUAGUACGGUACUGACGCUGAGACGCGAAAGCGUGGGGAGCGAACAGG